rnacentral:rRNA from 1 species
GACGAACGCUGGCGGCGUGCCUAAUACAUGCAAGUCGAACGAGAGCGACCGGUGCUUGCACUGGUCAAUCUAGUGGCGCACGGGUGAGUCACACGUGGGUAACCUGCCCAUCAGAGGGGGAUAACAUCCGGAAACGGAUGCUAACACCGCAUAGGUCUUCGAACCGCAUGGUUUGAAGAGGAAAAGAGGCGCAAGCUUCUGCUGAUGGAUGGACCCGCGGUGCAUUAGCUAGUUGGUGAGGUAACGGCUCACCAAGGCCGUGAUGCAUAGCCGACCUGAGGGGGGGAUCGGCCACAUUGGGACUGAGCCACGGCCCAAACGCCUACGGGAGGCGGCAGUAGGGAAUCUUCCGCAAUGGACGCAAGUCUUACGGAGCAACGCCGCGUGAGUGAAGAAGGUUUUCGGAUCGUAAAACUCUGUUGUUAGAGAAGAACAAGUGCUAGAGUAACUGUUAGCGCCUUGACGGUAUCUAACCAGAAAGCCACGGCUAACUACGUG